CCUACGGGAGGCAGCAGUGAGGAAUAUUGGUCAAUGGGAGAGAUCCUGAACCAGCCAAGCCGCGUGAGGGAAGACGGCCCUAUGGGUUGUAAACCUCUUUUGUCGGAGAACAAAACCCGGGACGUGUCCCGGACUGCGUGUAUCCGAAGAAAAAGCAUCGGCUAACUCCGUGCCAGCAGCCGCGGUAAUACGGAGGAUGCAAGCGUUAUCCGGAUUUAUUGGGUUUAAAGGGUGCGUAGGCGUUCCGUUAAGUCAGCGGUAAAAUUGCGGGGCUCAACCCCGUCGAGCCGUUGAAACUGGCAGACUUGAGUUGGCGAGAAGUACGCGGAAUGCGCGGUGUAGCGGUGAAAUGCAUAGAGAGCGCGCAGAACUCCGAUUGCGAAGGCAGCGUACCGGCGCCAGACUGACGCUGAGGCACGAAAGCGUGGGGAGCGAACAGGAUUAGAUACCCGUGUAGUC
rnacentral:rRNA from 1 species